GGAUAUAGCUCAGUUGGUAGAGUGCUUGCUUUGCAUGCACAGGCCCUGGGUUCAAUUCCCAGCACCA
rnacentral:tRNA from 1 species